UACGUAGGGGGCAAGCGUUAUCCGGAUUUACUGGGUGUAAAGGGGGCGCAGACGGCAAUGCAAGCCAGGAGUGAAAGCCCGGGGCCCAACCCCGGGACUGCAUUUGGAACUGUGCUGCUAGAGUGUCGGAGAGGCAGGCGGAAUUCCUAGUGUAGCGGUGAAAUGCAUAGAUAUUAGGAGGAACACCAGUGGCGAAGGCGGUCUGCUGGACAGCAACUGACGCUGAGGCGCGAAAGCGUGGGGAGCAAACAGG
rnacentral:rRNA from 1 species